rnacentral:rRNA from 1 species
UUCAAAGGAAAUUAACGGGGGGCCCCGCACCAACGGGUGGAGCAUGGGGUUUAAUUUGAAGCGACGCGCAGAACCUAACCAACCUUUGACAUCCUGAUCGCGGUUACGAGAGAUCGUUUCCUUCAGUUCGGCUGGAUCAGUGACAGGUGCUGCAUGGCUGUCGUCAGCUCGUGUCGUGAGAUGUUCGGUUGGUUAAGUCCGGCAACGAGCGCAACCCAAAUCCCUAGUUGCCAGCAGUUCGGCUGGGCACUCUAUGGAAACUGCCCGUGAUAAGCGGGAGGAAGGUGUGGAUGACGUCAAGUCCUCAUGGCCCUUACGGGUUGGGCUACACACGUGCUACAAUGGUGUCUACAGAGAGUUAAUCUCAAAAAGACAUCUCAGUUCGGAUUGGGGUCUGCAACUCGACCCCAUGAAGUCGGAAUCGCUAGUAAUCGCGGAACAGCAUGCCGCGGUGAAUACGUUCCCGGGCCUUGUACACACCGCCCGUCACACCAUGGGAGUCGGGCCUACCCGACGGCCGUGCGCUAACCUUUCGAGGAGGCAGCGGACCACGGUAAGCUCAGCGACUGGGAAAGUCGUAACAAGGUAACC